rnacentral:rRNA from 1 species
GAUGAACGCUGGCGGCGUGCCUAAUACAUGCAAGUCGAGCGAACGGACGAAAAGCUUGCUUCUCUGAUGUUAGCGGCGGACGGGUGAGUAACACGUGGAUAACCUACCUAUAAGACUGGGAUAACUUCGGGAAACCGUAGCUAAUACCGGAUAAUAUUUUGAACCGCAGGGUUCAAAAGUGAAAGACGGUCUUGCUGUCACUUAUAGAUGGAUCCGCGCUGCAUUAUCUAGUUGGUAAGGUAACGGCUUACCAAGGCAACGAUGCAUAGCCGACCUGAGAGGGUGACAGGCCACCCUGGAACUGAGACAAGGUCCAGACUCCUACGGGAGGCAGCAGUCGGGAAUCUUGCGCCAUGCGCGCAAGCUUGCCGGAACCACGCCGAGUGAGUGAUGAAGGUCCUCGGAUCGUAACACUCUGUUAUUAGGGAAGACCCUAUCUGUAAGUAACUGUGCCCAUCUUGCCGGUACCUAAUCAGAAAGCCACGGCUACCUACGUG